GGUACGGUGGUCUAGCGGUUAGAACGCUGGCCUUGUAAUCCUGGGGUCUCGGGUUCGAUUCCCGGCGGUGCCC
rnacentral:tRNA from 1 species